rnacentral:siRNA from 1 species
AAUUGAGCCAAAAACCAAAUGCA